rnacentral:lncRNA from 1 species
AGGGAAGGAGCAUCUAAGGCUUCUGCCAAAGUUUACAACACAUUGUGGCAAGGUAAAAGCCUCGCAUCGCUUCUGGUUAACAGUUCACGGAGCAUUGUUGGCAUGGGGCAUGCGGAGAACCUGUUCAUGUGUGCAUUGCAGAAAGCUGCGACGGUCCCGGUCAUCAGCCGCAUCCUUGAGCUGUACAAGCAGCACGUCUUCGGCAAGCUUGGAUGGAUGACGCAGGAUCUGCAGACCUUCUCAGAGGAGCUGCUGAGAUUGAGCGAGAUUGUGAAACAGUGUAUGGACAGAGGUUCUGGAGCCAUGUCUCGCUGGCAGAAGAAGAGGGUUAAGAGAAUGGAAACCAUAUUCAAAAAGCUGAAAGAGGUUGACCGGUACAAGGCAGUGAGGGAGUUCCACCACGUGCUGGUGUGGAUCAGUGUCCACAUCGACCGAGUUCAGUCACAAGAGAUCUGUGCUUAGGGUUAACCCCAAGCCUACAGACUCUCUCGCACACACACACACACACACACACGCACACACACACAACCAAGCAAAGGAUGAAUUAAUGAGCACUUUGAAUAAUGCACAAGCUUAGUCGGAG